rnacentral:rRNA from 1 species
UUAGUCAAUGCUCGCAAGAGUGAACUAGCUAACUGAAAUCAAUGGUGUGUCAUCAUUGAUAAGGUAAGGGAAAAGAAAAGAUAUUACCUUACUAUUAGUGUCGUCCAAGUACUCGUGCCAGAAGACUCGGUAAGGCGAGAGACGCAAACGUUAGUCGUCUUAAUCAGGCGUAAAGGGUUUGUAGGCGGCUUUAAGUAUGGAUACUUUCUAAAUUUUAUAUUAUUCAUUUAGUAUAGAAGGAGAAAUCAAUUAAAGCUAGAAUCAAAUAGAGGUCAAAUUAAAUAAUACUUGGUGUAAGAUUGGUAUCUUUAAAAACCAAGCGGAAUACUAACGGCGAAGGCUUUUUUCCAUUAAUGAUUGACGCUGAGAAACUAAGGUGAGGACAGAAAAAAGGAUUAGAGACCCUCGUAUUCCUCACUGUCAACGAUGAAUGGUAGUUACUAGAAAAUAAAAGUUUUAUAGGAUAAAACACAAAUUCUAGAGGCGAUGUUAACACGUAAACCAUUCCGCCUUGUGAGUACGACUGCAAAGUUGAAAACAAAAAAAUUAGUCGGUUUCGGAGCAAACGAAGUGAAGCAUGUUAUUUAA